rnacentral:lncRNA from 1 species
AGGAAAUAAAUGUCAGCAAUUCAAUAGACAAAAAGGCAACAAUCACAAUGCUAGAUGACCAAAGCAAUAACUUUCUGAAGACAACAGGUUUUCUACCUAUCUGAAGUCACGCUUCAUUUUGGCAUAUCCUUAGAAGAAUAUAUUCUGCCUGGACCCCUGUGUCAUCUCAUGUCAGUUCAGCACUUGGCCCUGGCAGCCAUCUUGCUGUCAUGUACCCUUCCACUUCUAGUAGGUGUGUGUUGUUAUUUCUGUGAUGUCUGGCUUAAUAGAAGACAUAUGGAAUCUUCUAUUUGUUUCUGUAUCUAAUCUUUUGUGAAUUAAUAUAUCAUGUAGUUUCCAGAAAACUCAG